GUCUUGGCGUGGUGGGAUUCAUAAUGUUGCCCCCUGUGAUGACACUGCACGUUUUAGAAAGAAAAAAACAACACAAUUUUUAGAUGUUUUUGGGACUCAGUUUCAUCACUUGAAGAUGGAUGACGACUGCCAAUCAAUCAGGUAUCAACCCCAUCAUCUUCGUCAUCAUCCUCUUCAUCAUCAUCGUAGUCAUUAUGAUCAUAAUCAUCAUCACUGAAUGCCUGUGUUGCCACCAGUCUCUCCAGCUUAGCUGCAGUUUGACCGUGGCCGUGUGUCUCACAUCACGCAUGGUUUGAUGUCCUGGCAGACGCUCUGGGGAUGGUGAUGGUGGUGAUGGUGGUAGUAGGAGCCGCCAGCCGAGGGGUGGAAGGACGAGAUGCCGUUAAAGUUUAACACAAAAUCUUUCCUGUCGCACACCGAGGAAUGGCUCUGGUAGCGUGGAAUCCCCACUGCAGAGGAGACGGACCCUGGUGUUCCUAUAAAACACUGUAUAGAAUUCCUGAGGACCAUCAUUUGAGCACUUUACUGUCCGCGAGAGACGUGAAAACCCUCAUCUGAAUGACGUGAGCCUUACAGAGCAAACAAGCACAUCAUCAGGGGUCAUCACAGGUCAUCUUCAGGUCAGAGGUCAGCAGCCAGUCCUAGAGCAGUUAGAAGAGCAAUGUUACUGUCAUGGUAAUUAUGACGGAAGAUUGGCCUCACUGGGACCUUUAAACCUGACUAUGAUUGCUGGUAAAGUUUGGAGAGUGACUGCUGUCAACACUGAGCUGAAAAGUAACUGCUCUGUAACCCAAAAAUGUCUGAGAAAUAUCAUCAUCUUUCAAGUGAAAAGUUAUUUAAGUUCUAUUUAAGAGCUUUUAGUUGUUAAUUGAAAAUUAGAGUAUGUUUCUCAUUUGAUCAUAAUUCAAUAUGUUGGCCGGUUUAGCAGUUCUGUAUACAAGCAGUCCCUUAUAUAAAAAAAACUUUAACAGUACAAGUAAACGUCAAUAAUCUAGAUGUACUCGUUGUCUAGUGUAAGUCCCACUAUUACAAUUAAUUGUGGAGUGACAGCGGGUUAAAAUGUUGAGGUUUUUCUGUUAUCCAUCCAUCCAUCCAUCUUGAUCCGCU